rnacentral:rRNA from 1 species
UACGUAGGGGGCUAGCGUUGUCCGGAAUCAUUGGGCGUAAAGCGCGUGUAGGCGGCCCGGUAAGUCCGCUGUGAAAGUCGGGGGCUCAACCCUCGGAAGCCGGUGGAUACUGUCGGGCUAGAGUCCGGAAGAGGAGAGUGGAAUUCCUGGUGUAGCGGUGAAAUGCGCAGAUAUCAGGAAGAACACCCGUGGCGAAGGCGGCUCUCUGGGACGGUACUGACGCUGAGACGCGAAAGCGUGGGGAGCGAACAGG